rnacentral:pre_miRNA from 1 species
CCGGGAGCCAGAGGUUCCAGUGAGCCAAGAUCAAGACAUUGCACUCCAGCCUGGGCUACAGAGUGAGACUCCGUCUCAAAAAAAAAAAAAAAAAAAAAUAAUAGUAAUUAUUAUUUUUUGAGACAGAAUCUUGCUUUGUCGCCCAGGCUGGAGUGCAAUGUCUUGAUCUUGGCUCACUGCAACCUCUGGCUCCCGG